UCGUCAGAUAAGAUAACCCUAACCUGUUCCUCUUUUUCAGAGGGCAGAGAGACUAUGAUGGUUGGAAUAGGAUUGACUAGUGAUUAAUGUUUCUUUCGAGGUUAGGGCUCUUUAGGGCUUGCAACACCCUAGUUGCUUUUAUCUGAU